UCAGAACGAACGCUGGCGGCAGGCCUAACACAUGCAAGUCGAGCGCGCCUUCGGGUGAGCGGCGGACGGGUUAGUAACGCGUGGGAACGUACCCUUUUCUACGGAAUAGCCUUUGGAAACGAAGAGUAAUACCGUAUACGCCCUUUGGGGGAAAGAUUUAUCGGAGAAGGAUCGGCCCGCGUUAGAUUAGAUAGUUGGUGGGGUAACGGCCUACCAAGUCUACGAUCUAUAGCUGGUUUUAGAGGAUGAUCAGCAACACUGGGACUGAGACACGGCCCAGACUCCUACGGGAGGCAGCAGUGGGGAAUCUUAGACAAUGGGCGCAAGCCUGAUCUAGCCAUGCCGCGUGAGUGAUGAAGGCCUUAGGGUCGUAAAGCUCUUUCGCCUGUGAUGAUAAUGACAGUAGCAGGUAAAGAAACCCCGGCUAACUCCGUGCCAGCAGCCGCGGUAAUACGGAGGGGGUUAGCGUUGUUCGGAAUUACUGGGCGUAAAGCGCACGUAGGCGGAUUGGAAAGUUGGGGGUGAAAUCCCGGGGCUCAACCCCGGAACUGCCUCCAAAACUAUCAGUCUAGAGUUCGAGAGAGGUGAGUGGAAUUCCAAGUGUAGAGGUGAAAUUCGUAGAUAUUCGGAGGAACACCAGUGGCGAAGGCGGCCCACUGGCUCGAUACUGACGCUGAGGUGCGAAAGUGUGGGGAGCAAACAGGAUUAGAUACCCUGGUAGUCCACACCGUAAACGAUGAAUGCCAGUCGUCGGGCAGUAUACUGUUCGGUGACACACCUAACGGAUUAAGCAUUCCGCCUGGGGAGUACGGUCGCAAGAUUAAAAC
rnacentral:rRNA from 1 species